rnacentral:tRNA from 1 species
GGAAGUGUGCCCGACCAAAAGGACUAUUUUGAUAAAAUAGACAUAGAGACUACAAUCUCUUACUUCCU